rnacentral:rRNA from 1 species
AGAGGUGGCGAGCGUUGUUCGGAAUUACUGGGCUUAAAGGGCGCGUAGGCGGUGGUGUAAGUCUGGGGUGGAAUUUCACGGCUCAACCGUGGAAUUGCCCUGGAAACUGCAUUACUUGAGUCGGACAGGGGAAGGCGGAAUUCCAGGUGUAGCGGUGAAAUGCGUAGAUAUCUGGAGGAAGGCCUGUGGUGAAGACGGCCUUCUGGGUCUUGACUGACGCUGAGGCGCGAAAGCGUGGGGAGCAAACAGGAUUAGAUACCCUGGUAGUCCACGCCCUAAACGGUGGGUACUAGGUGUGGGGUCCGUAUGGGCUCCGUGCCGAAGGGAAACCAUUAAGUACCCCGCCUGGGGAGUACGGCCGCAAGGUUGG